rnacentral:rRNA from 1 species
AUUGAACGCUGGCGGCAGGCUUAACACAUGCAAGUCGAGCGGGGUGAUGGUGCUUGCACUAUCACUUAGCGGCGGACGGGUGAGUAAUGCUUAGGAAUCUGCCUAUUAGUGGGGGACAACAUCUCGAAAGGGAUGCUAAUACCGCAUACGUCCUACGGGAGAAAGCAGGGGAUCACUUGUGACCUUGCACUAAUAGAUGAGCCUAAGUCGGAUUAGCUAGUUGGUGGGGUAAAGGCCUACCAAGGCGACGAUCUGUAGCGGGUCUGAGAGGAUGAUCCGCCCCACUGGGACUGGGACACGGCCCAGACUCCUACGGGAGGCAGCAGUGGGGAAUAUUGGACAAUGGGGGGAACCCUGAUCCAGCCAUGCCGCGUGUGUGAAGAAGGCCUUAUGGUUGUAAAGCACUUUAAGCGAGGAGGAGGCUCUUUUGGUUAAUACCCAAGAUGAGUGACGUUACUCGCAGAAUAAGCACCGGCUAACUCUGUGCCAGCCGCCGCAGUAA